rnacentral:rRNA from 1 species
UGGGGAAUAUUGCACAAUGGGCGAAAGCCUGAUGCAGCAACGCCGCGUGAACGAUGAAGGUCUUCGGAUCGUAAAGUUCUGUUGCAGGGGAAGAUAAUGACGGUACCCUGUGAGGAAGCCCCGGCUAACUACGUGCCAGCAGCCGCGGUAAUACGUAGGGGGCUAGCGUUAUCCGGAUUUACUGGGCGUAAAGGGUGCGUAGGUGGUCCAUCAAGUCGGUGGUUAAAGGCUACGGCUCAACCGUAGUAAGCCUCCGAAACUGUUGGACUUGAGUGCAGGAGAGGAAAGUGGAAUUCCCAGUGUAGCGGUGAAAUGCGUAGAUAUUGGGAGGAACACCAGUAGCGAAGGCGGCUUUCUGGACUGCAACUGACACUGAGGCACGAAAGCGUGGGUAGCAAACAGG